rnacentral:rRNA from 1 species
UACGUAGGGGGCGAGCGUUGUCCGGAUUUAUUGGGCGUAAAACGCUUGUAGGCGGCCACAUCGCGUCGGACGUGAAAUCUCCCGGCUCAACUGGGAGGGGUCGUGCGAUACGGAUGGGCUCGAGGCCGGUAGGGGGACGCGGAAUUCCCGGUGUAGUGGUGGAAUGCGUAGAUAUCGGGAGGAACACCUAUGGCGAAGGCAGCUCGCUGGGACGUUACUGACGCUGAGACGCGAAAGCGUGGGGAGCAAACAGG